AGCGUAGACGGCUGUGUAAGUCUGAAGUGAAAGCCCGGGGCUCAACCCCGGGACUGCUUUGGAAACUAUGCAGCUAGAGUGUCGGAGAGGUAAGUGGAAUUCCCAGUGUAGCGGUGAAAUGCGUAGAUAUUGGGAGGAACACCAGUGGCGAAGGCGGCUUACUGGACGAUGACUGACGUUGAGGCGCGAAAGCGUGGGGAGCAAACA
rnacentral:rRNA from 1 species